ACCCAAUACUUUCAGACGAAAGCGCUUGUAUAUUGGACUUGCAUGAUUGACCUUGAAGCCCAUUUCCUCAAACAUUUUUAACUGAUCUACAAAGCCAUCAUUGGGGCAAACAAACUCGCAGCUUUCCUUUAGGGAUUCAAGAGCAUCUUCUUGAGAUAGUUGUUCAGUUCUCAUCAAAUAUGCUGUAAUGAUAGCUGCACUUCUUGAAACACCAGCAAAGCAAUGCACCAAAACAGAACCCGCUUUUCUACUCCGAUCAAUGAAAUCCAAACAAACAUCCAAGUAAUCUAACAAAUCCUCACUCUCCAUAUCUCUGAUGGACACAGCCAUCCUCACCAGCUUCAAAUCCUUGCCAGCAUACUCCAACGAGUACAAAAGCUUAUCAGGCGACAAAGAACUCUUCGACCCAUCACCUAAAUCAUUCUCAGAACCACCAACAUAUACCUUCUUAAUCUCCUUAGCAGGAAUCGUAAGACCACUCCGCCAUUCCGUGAAAAAGGAGAUAGAUGGAGAGCUUAAGACUGAGAGAACAUGCGUGAUCUCAGCGCUACCGUUUUGGAGAAUCUCUGCCGCGUCACUGAUGUUUCCGAUGAAUAGAUUCUCCCGAACACGGUACGGCAUCACAACUCACAAUCAAAGGCUUUUUUUCCUUUUUUUUUUUU
rnacentral:misc_RNA from 1 species